GAUGAACGCUGGCGGCGUGCCUAAUACAUGCAAGUCGAGCGAACAGACGAGGAGCUUGCUCCUCUGACGUUAGCGGCGGACGGGUGAGUAACACGGGGAUAACCUACCUAUAAGACUGGGAUAACUUCGGGAAACCGGAGCUAAUACCGGGUAAUAUAUUGAACAGAACGGUUCAAUAAUGAAAGACGGUUUUGCUGUCGCUUAUACAUGGAUCCGCGCCGCAUUAGCUAAUUGGUAAGGUAACGGCUUACCAAGGCAACGAUGCGUAGCCGACCUGAGAGGGUGAACGGCCACACUGGAAGUGAGACACGGUGCACACUCCUAAGGGAGGCAGCAGUAGGGAAUCCUCCGCAAUGGGGGAAAGCCUGACGUAGCAAAGCCGCGUGAGUGAUGAAGGUCUUAGGCUGGUAAAACUAUGUUAUUAGGGAAGAAGAAAUGUGUAAGUAAAUAUGAACGUCUUGACGGUACCUAAUCAGAAAGCCACGGCUAACUACGUG
rnacentral:rRNA from 1 species